CCGGUACGUGGGCUCAGCGAGAGCACUUCAGGUUUGGAUCCUGAGUGCUUGACUCGCGUUUCCUUAUAAUUUUGGAUCUGCUGCUUUUCUGCACGGUUCAUGGAGUUGGAAUAAGAUUGUCCUAUGGGGCAACGCACAGCAGAUUAGGAACGUGCUCACAUGAGGUGAUCCAAAAGUGCUCUUUUAUGAGCGUUUGUUCUCCUUCCAGCUCAGGAGCAGCGCUGGGCGAGACUCACCUCCCUGCACGGGGAUGAAGAACAUCAUAAUAUGUUUGAAGCAAAGAACUGCAGAUAGGGAGAUUUUCAAAAAGCCAUUUGUUUACCUGGGUGAGGCAUUCAGACCAAAAGCGAAGGGUUAUUCAGGAAAGAACUCAAGCAUGUGGCUACAGCACUGGAGCAGACCCAUUCAGCCUCAGCUCGCAGCAGCACAGCUAGGGGUGCAGUGGGGUUCAUCAGGCCAGCACCUCCUCCUGGAGCUGAGCACAAGCCUGCACUCCUGGAUCAUGCCAUCCUGGCCAUUUAUUUGCCUGAAACUUAAACCUAUGCACUUCUCCUGGUGGUUGCAAAGUUUGCCACGCUCUGUCAAGCCUGCAGCGAUUACUUAUGGGCCACAGAUGGAUGCCUCAGCUCACUGGAGAGAUGUGUCCUGUAAUGCAUGCUGCUUGUUCACAGCUGAUCCCGAAAGAAGCUGACAUAAGGGCAUCAAGGAGCAUAAUUUUCCAGAAAUGCACUCCCUGCAUUUCUGACUGAAAGGGUAUGUGCAGAGUGGUUCACUGUGGCAGAGACUGAAGUGUUUGAGAGGUUUGUACUCCAGCCUGCUAUUAACUAUUGGUAGCACUGACUGCAGGGCUGCAGGCAGUGCAUGCUUUUAGCUUGAAUUUUCACUUCUUCAUUCUGGAAGGAAGAAUGGGAGAAAUGUUCUGGGUGCAAAUUCCGUGUGUGUCUCACGCCAUCUGCUAAUAGCAUGUGUGAGCUGCUCUACUGCCAGAAACCAGGAACAAAGAUAACAUCACUGCAGAGAGAACUGCCCUGCUCCCAAGUGAGGCUCGUACUGCAGGUAACCCGAUCGCUCCGCACCCACUGGGGCCGAGCCUAGGGCAGUCCUGUUCACCUGACACUUGCAUAAACCUAGGACGGUGUCACUCAAACCAGUGUGGGACCUUAGAUGCAAAGCUGUUCCUGCUGAGCCCAGCAGAUAAAUAAAGUUCAUAAUCCAUUCAAUACGAUGGCCCUGUUGGAAUCCCAGAGAUGAAGUUAUUCGGGAGGAGGAAGUACAAAAGCCAAAGAAGCCUCCCCAUCUAAACCCUGUUCAGGCAACUUGCAGACGAGGCAGGGAGUACAGUCUGCAGUGGAACACUGAGGAAACUGUCACAGAAGCUACCGCUGGUCCUGAGCACAUUCACCAGAGUCUUGAGAGUCUGCUGUGCCACAGCUGGAUGCUCAUCCAUCUGAGAACCAGGCUUUUCUCUGCCUUUCCACAGCCUGCAAUGCAGUCAGGAAGCAAAGGAUACUAAGGGAUGUUAGCAGCUGCCAAACUGCCAGGUAGGAGGCACUGGUUGCACCUGGUGUUUGCUGUGGCACUGUGACCGUCUUCUCAGGAGCAUGCUGUGGCACUUUGUGCAAUGAGGGACAACCAGUAGGAACUCAAAAAGCCAAUGAAGCACAUAAGGUGAAUGUCACUGAACUGUUUUUGGGGAAGCAGUUUUGGUACAAUGCUGACUCCCUGUACUUUGGAGUCAUUCUUUGCAGCUAGGCAGUGUGGGCAGGUAGAGCAGGUAGUGCACGUGUUGUGUAUGUCCCUUUGGCAUUCCACAGCUGAAGCACACAUCAAAUGGGGAAACAGACUCACAAGAAAG
ensembl:lncRNA